rnacentral:rRNA from 1 species
AGAGUUUGAUCCUGGCUCAGAAUGAACGCUGGCGGCGUGCUUUACACAUGCAAGUCGUACGAGAAAUCCUCUAUAUUAGAGGAGAGUAAAGUGGCGCACGGGUGAGUAACGCGUGGGUAAUCUGCUUUAAAUUUGGGAUAACAUUGUGAAAGCGAUGCUAAUACCGAAUGAAAUUCUUUAUUUUUAGAAAUUUUGAAUUAAAGAGGGCCUCUAUUUAUAAGCUCUUGUUUGAAGAUGAGCCCGCGUACCAUUAGCUUGUUGGUGGGGUAAUGGCCUACCAAGGCAACGAUGGUUAGCUGGUCUGAGAGGAUGAUCAGCCACACUGGAACUGACACACGGUCCAGACUCCUACGGGAGGCAGCAGUGGGGAGUUUUGCGCAAUGGGGGAAACCCUGACGCAGCAACGCCGCGUGAGUGAUGAAGGCUUUCGAGUCGUAAAACUCUGUCAAGUGGGAAGAAAUUAUGGUGAUUUAAUACAUCUCUAUAUUGACGGUACCACUAAAGGAAGCACCGGCUAACUCCGUGCCAGCAGCCGCGGUAAUACGGAGGGUGCAAGCGUUAUUCGGAAUCAUUGGGCGUAAAGGGCGCGUAGGCGGCUUGGCAAGUCAAGUGUGAAAGCCCGAGGCUUAACCUCGGAAGUGCACUUGAUACUGUCUAGCUUGAGUAUGGGAGAGGAAAGUGGAAUUUCUGGUGUAGAGGUGGAAUUCGUAGAUAUCAGAAGGAACACCGGUGGCGAAGGCGACUUUCUGGACCAAUACUGACGCUGAGGCGCGAAGGCGUGGGUAGCGAACAGGAUUAGAUACCCUGGUAGUCCACGCAGUAAACGUUGUUCACUAGGUGAAGCGGGUAUUGACCCCUGCUGUGCCGCAGUUAACGCAUUAAGUGAACCGCCUGGGAAGUACGAUCGCAAGAUUAAAACUCAAAGGAAUUGACGGGGGCCCGCACAAGCGGUGGAGCAUGUGGUUUAAUUCGAUGCAACGCGAAGAACCUUACCUGGGUUUGACAUCUUAGGAAUCUUAUCGAAAGAUGAGAGUGCCCUUAGGGGAGCCUAAAGACAGGUGCUGCAUGGCUGUCGUCAGCUCGUGUCGUGAGAUGUUGGGUUAAGUCCCGCAACGAGCGCAACCCUUGUCUUUAGUUGCCAUCAUUUGGUUGGGGACUCUAAAGACACUGCCCCGGUUAACGGGGAGGAAGGUGGGGAUGACGUCAAGUCCUCAUGGCCUUUAUAUCCAGGGCUACACACGUGCUACAAUGGACUGUACAAAGGGUCGCGAAUCUGC